rnacentral:rRNA from 1 species
UACGGAGGAUGCGAGCGUUAUCCGGAUUUAUUGGGUUUAAAGGGUGCGUAGGCGGGCUUCUAAGUCAGCGGUAAAAAUUCGGGGCUCAACCCCGUCCGGCCGUUGAAACUGGGGGCCUUGAGUGGGCGAGAAGAAGGCGGAAUGCGUGGUGUAGCGGUGAAAUGCAUAGAUAUCACGCAGAACCCCGAUUGCGAAGGCAGCCUUCCGGCGCCCUACUGACGCUGAGGCACGAAAGUGCGGGGAUCGAACAGG